GUCUUUUAGAAUAUAAUUUAAAGUCUAACCUGCCCACUGAAUUUUUUGAAGGGCCGCGGUAUUUUGACUGUGCAAAGGUAGCAUAAUCAUUAGUCUUUUAAUUGGAGGCUUGUAUGAAUGGUUGGAUGAAACAUUAACUGUCUCAAUUUAAUAAAAGUAGAAUUUAAUUUUUAAGUUAAAAAGCUUAAAUUUAAUUAGAGGACGAGAAGACCCUAUAGAUCUUUAUAAUUAAUUAGUUAUUAUUUAUAUAGUAAAUUUAUUAAUAUUAAUUAAUUAAUUAUUUUAUUGGGGUGAUAAAUAAAUUUAGUAAACUUUAUUUAAUAUAAACAUUAAUUUAUGAAUAUUUGAUCCAUUAUUAGUGAUUAUAAGAUUAAGUUACCUUAGGGAUAACAGCGUAAUUUUUUUAGAGAGUUCUUAUCGAUAAAAAAGUUUGCGACCUCGAUGUUGAAUUAAAGGUUAAUUUUAGGUGUAGAAGUUUAAAGUUUUGGUCUGUUCGACCAUUAAAUC
rnacentral:rRNA from 1 species